rnacentral:lncRNA from 7 species
AUCUCUCUCUGGAGAUCACUCCUCUUGGAGCCCUUUGGCAAGCCCAGGGACCAUGGUUGUGUGAAAUAGCAUGUCAUGGGAGACCAAUACCGGUGAGACUGAUGGAGGCUUGCCAGCAGUCAGAAGCUGCCUAUAGCACAGUUUAAAAAAGUUGACUUUGUAUAAAGGGAAUACACAGGAAAAAGAGGUGGCCUGCAUGUACUUGGAGAGAAAAUGAAGCUGUCUAGUCUUGCUGGCAUAACAUAAAAAAAAAGCACAUUUUUUCCCACUAGGAUGGGGAUGCUUUUACAUAUCAGUAAAAGAAGGUGUAAUUUGCAGAAUAUUAUCUGGGGAGGGGAAGAAAAGAAUAAGUUGGCAUCAAGCAGUGGUAGAAAGUAAACCAGCACAUAUGACUUUCAGUGAAAAAGUUAUCUCUUUCUGAGUUAUAUUCCAUUAUUUGAUAUUUUUGAUUUUGGAGAAAGAGUAUAUUUACUUCCAAGAGCUUGAUAAAAUGAUGAAAAGCUGUAACUAUUAACGAGCAAAGACUCUGCUUUGAAUCCAGGUUCAUGUUAUGUUUACCUGCCCAGAGAAUAUUUAAACAGUGAACUAAAGCAGCUGUGAGCAUUAUUUCACAUGAACAAUGUGAAAGAUAACUGUGAAGGAUAAGUGAGACCAUGGUUUUGUGUCUUCUCAAGACCAGGGAAUGUUUGCAUCCUUUAAUCUUUUCCUGAUACCUAGAGACUUGCUGUGAAGUUCUAACCUCUCAGAAUUCAGUGUUUUUUCUGGUUGAUUUCAAUAGGGCUUGGAUUUUUAUUUUCCUAUGGACUUAAUGCAUAAGACUCCAGUAUUUGAAACUAGCAGAUAGUUCCUCUUUGGAAAAGUAAAAUAAAAUGGAAGUGAUUACAGACAUGAAUGUGACCAGCACACACUGAAAAAAUGAUUCAUAUGACAUGUUUAUUGACAUCUGGAGGAGGGAAGGAUUUUGUAUUUUUGAUCUUAUCUUGGUUAUUGCUGUAUAAAAAGAGAGAGUAAAUAAAAAUCUACCAUCACC